ensembl:lncRNA
CCCGAUCAUUGCAUCAUCCCUAGCAAUAUCAAAAUAUAAAUAAAACAAUAAAAUUCAAUAAAUAAAAUAGAUAGAAUACUUAAAAUACUAAUAAGAUAUAACAGUAAAGAUAGAUUAGUGAAGUACUUAGUUGGGGAUGUGAAGAGAAGCAAUGUACAUUUAAUUUAAUUCUCAAAACUACUAUUAUUGGAUACAAAAUGUCUCAUACUUCAUAGAAAGUGCAUUUCAAGUGUUUUUGCAACUUAGAUUUCCACUUCCAUGCUGAUGCUAGUAACCAGCACUGGCAAACUAAGUGGGGCACAUUCCGGGUUAGACAGACUUAAAUAAACCGUUUACUUUCAGCAGCUCAAUUUAAAAAUAGCCAUACAGUUUUUAGUCUUUAUAGAGGUAUAUUAAUUCACUUCAGUAUAUUUUCAAUUGCAUGUUCUGGUGUUAACAAAACAAAAUCUCAUUGACUUAUUCUUAGCAAUGUUUUCCUCUGUAAUAUAUAGGCAUUUUAUUGGUGUUAGAUUCUGUUCAGUUAAAUUCAAUUACAUUUUAUUUGUAUAACACUAAAUCACAACAGUCACGCUUUAAAUAUAAAGCACCUUGAGGUGACUGUUGUUGUGAUUUGGUAAUAAGGUAAACACUUUGAAAUAAUACAGAGAAAACACCAGAGCUGAACUGCUUUGAGCAUAGUGUCUGUGAAGGUUCUCAGUCAUCCAGGUCAUCGUAAUCUAAGGCUACGUCCACAUGUAAACAGGUAUUUUUGAAAACGGAGAUUUUCCGUUUUCGUUUAAAAAAAAUAAUCCCGUCCACAUGUAAACGCAAAAAUGAAGGAAAACGCUGCUAAGAACAUGCCAAAGCAACAGGUGGCGAUAUAUUCCUAACUGUGUAGAAAUGUUGGCCAAUCAGAAGUCUAGAAGCCUCGGUGGGAAAUAGUAAACAAAGAUGGGGGAUAGAAGCAGAACCGAGUCGUAUGUGUGGAGGGACAGUAACUGUGUGUGUAUAUGUAAGCAUUUAAACAGUGCAGAGAGAACAAUUAACAGUAACAGUAUUGUAGAAAUUCACUUCACCGAAACAAUAACGUUGUCACGGUUUGCCAGGGCAAGCCGUGUGGAAUAUUUAGGACCAGGACGCGGCAGCUCUGGUGCAGGUGAGUAUUUAUUAACGAAGGGAAAAACAAACAACAAAGGCACUGGGAACAUGAAACUGGAACCUAAACUGGGUAAAACUAACAAAGGCAAAACAAAACAGGAGCACUAGAAGGCCAAAAGACAAAAAUAAAAACAAAACACGAGUCCAAACCAAAAGAAAAGAAGCACACCAGAGCACAGGAAAACAGAGUCCAAAACAGAAAAGGUCAGGGGGCCGGCCAGCACAGGAGUCCAAACAGUUCAGGGGGCCGACCGUGCAGAAGGCAACGGCGACGACGACAGCACUGGUCCGGGGGCCGGCCGUGCGGAAGGCAACGGCGACAGCACUGGUCCGGGAGCCGGCCGUGUGGAAGGCAACGGCGGCCACUCAGGCGAAGAGGGUCUGGGAGCUGGCCGUGCGGACGGCAACGGCGGCCACUCAGGCGAAGAGGGUCUGGGGACCGCCCACGACGGCGAUGGCGCCUGGCCAGUUGCCUGGCCAGCGGCCUAGAAAGCGGCCGUUUAGCUGCAGACCCAAACGAGGCAGGGCCAGGCGACACUGAAGGCGGAGACACGGAGGCUGGACCAGGCGACGCUGAAAACACGGAGGCUGGACCAGGCGACGCUGAAGACACGGAGGCUGGGCCAGGCGAGGAUGACGAGGCUGCAGCUGGACCAGGCGAGGAUGACGAGGCUGCAGCUGGACCAGACGGCGCUGCAGGCGGCAGCGUGGAAGCCGGAGACGGAGGCGCUGCAGGCGGCGGCGUGGAAGCCGGAGCCGGCCGUGCGGAGGGCCACGGCGGCCACUCAGGCAAAGAGGGUCUGGGAACUGCCCACGACGGCGAUGGCGCCUGGCCAGUUGCCUGGCCAGCGGCCUAGAAAGCGGCCGUUUAGCUGCAGACCCA